UAGAAAGGACAGGGGGCGCCAGCGAGAGAACCUGUGAUCACCGAUGAGCAGCAGAAACAGAUGAUGAUGCACUACUACAGAAGGCAGGAAGAGUUCAAGAAACUGGAGGAGGCUGACGAUGAUAGCUACAUGGACUCGGAGUGGUCAGACAGGCAGGCCCUCAAAAGACAGUUUCAGGGUCUCACUAAUAUCAAAUGGGGGCCGAGAUGAAGACCAGCACCACUCUAUAAACCCACCUUGGAGCCACUUCUGUCAUCUGGAGUUCUACAGCUCUGUAUUCAGCUGGACAAGUUGCCUUUUCAAAAUCUUAAAAUGAGCUUCCUCUUGGUCUCAUGGGACAUCAUCCAGAUAGUACUAAUGAUUCAGCCUGUCUGCUCUUAUAUCUUGGAGUUUCUCCUACUCUGUAACUGCCCUGAAAUUCAGAUCCUGACAUAAUGUGAAACUGAGGCUGGUGUUUGAUUUAUUUAAAUGUAAAUUUGGUCCCAGUGUUCCUUUACCAUUUUCACAAUGUUUUUUUUUUUUUAAUUGAAUCUGUACCAGAAAAAUAAAGUUUAUUCCAUGUUUUAUAUUU